rnacentral:lncRNA from 1 species
UGCAAUACAACAUAAUACAAUACACUUGUAUUAAAAUAAUGUAAUACAAUAUAAUACAAUACAGUGUACCAAACGCACCCUUAAUGCUGGGAAAAUCACACAAGACCCCCCGCGCGCACUCACACAAACAAUAAUCUUUACAUUACAAAGCACAGGCAACGAUUAUCUUUACAUUACAAAGCACAGGCCAUGAAGCAUCCAACUAUGGUAGCUCCAGGGAGUUCACUCGUACAAUAAGUAUUAAGCAUGUAUAGAAUCUGCACCAGGUAGGAAAUGGAUUAACUUCACUGCUGUUGUAGUCUUGAAACCAUGUGCUCCGACUUCUGAAAAAUAUAAAACAGAAUGUUAAGUAUGUUUUCUUACUUUAGCUAGUGGAAAACUUUAAAGCAAGCAAAUUGAUUGUAUAAAAAAAUUGUCUAUGUUCAGUUCAAUAAACGGCUUAUCUUAUAGCCUGAGGGAAUCUCAGUAGAAUGAAAAACAGAUAAAAUUGGGAAGUCUUUCAACAGUUGAGUACAGAACUGACUGUUUUCUUUCUUCCUGCCUUUUUAAAUCCUAUUCUACUAGACUAGAGGCUGAUUAAAUGGUUCUUAUUGCAUGACAGGAUCAAAAUUUCCAUCUCCAUGACAAUAAAUGAGUGCUUGGGUAAGCACAAGGCACCAUGAAAGCGCCUUAAUAAGGUUUAAGGUCAGGUGGUUUCAGUGGUUCUCACUCUUUGAAAUAUUUUUCUUUACUCCACAAGCAAAAAAUUCGCUCAAUUAUUUUCUUAGCUGGUCAUUUUAAUUUGCAAAAAUUCCCUUUACAUUGGUGUUGCUGUACCAAUUUACAGUGGAACAAACCUUAUCAGGAAUUGAAGUAGAAAACUGAACAUCAAGAAUUCAAUAUUCAAGGCCAUAUGCAGCGACUUAUUAUCACAUAAAACUUUUUAAUUUCAUAUGGAAGCAAAAUACAAUCAAGAGAGCUUCCUUUCAUGCUACCAUUAUAACUUUAAAA